rnacentral:tRNA from 1 species
UGCGGAGUGGAGCAGCUGGCAGCUCGCGCGGCUCUGGACCGCGAGGACGCAGGUUCGACCCCUGCCUCCGCAGCCA